rnacentral:rRNA from 1 species
CCUACGGGAGGCAGCAGUGGGGAAUAUUGGACAAUGGGGGCAACCCUGAUCCAGCCAUGCCGCGUGUGUGAAGAAGGCCCUCGGGUUGUAAAGCACUUUCAGUGAGGAAGAACGCCUGGUGGUUAAUACCCAUCAGGAAAGACAUCACUCACAGAAGAAGCACCGGCUAACUCCGUGCCAGCAGCCGCGGUAAUACGGAGGGUGCGAGCGUUAAUCGGAAUUACUGGGCGUAAAGCGCGCGUAGGUGGCUUGAUAAGCCGGUUGUGAAAGCCCCGGGCUCAACCUGUGAACGGCAUCCGGAACUGUCAAGCUAGAGUGCAGGAGAGGAAGGUAGAAUUCCCGGUGUAGCGGUUAAAUGCGUAGAGAUCGGGAGGAAUACCAGUGGCGAAGGCGGCCUUCUGGACUGACACUGACACUGAGGUGCGAAAGCGUGGGUAGCAAACAGGAUUAGAUACCCGUGUAGUC